ACCAGCAACCUGAUGCCAGCCCAUCGAAGGGGAACCGUGGUCUUCUCCUCGAGAUCGCUCAAGCGUCUGUCGGUCCUGCGAAUGAAAACAAAUGCAAGGAACGCCAGACAAGACAAGCCCCACAAAAUUAGGGCCUCAAGUGUUGAGCCCAAGGACAAGGUGAAGCCUAAGGGC
rnacentral:misc_RNA from 1 species